GUUGUCCAUAAGAUGAAACUCCAGCUGUUGUAGAACUACAAUUCCCAUGAUUCUUUGUCAGACAUGAGGUUGGUAAAGCAUCAUAGGAGUUGCAGUUUGCCACCAGCUGUUAUAAAAUGUAAGUUUAUUUCUGUAGACACACACAAGCUGGGAGAGACAGUGAUGGGAAAUCAAUGUGUAAUAAUGGCCUCUGUCCCGGUUUUAGUUACGAUGACGCCUUUGUUUUGGUUUUAAAAAAAAGAUACUUCUUGCUACACUGACUUUCUUACAGAUUUUUGUUCUAAUUGUGAUUUAUGGGAUGGAU